GAUGAAGAACGCAGCGAAAUGCGAUAAGUAAUGUGAAUUGCAGAAUUCAGUGAAUCAUCGAAUCUUUGAACGCACAUUGCGCCCGCCAGUAUUCUGGCGGGCAUGCCUGUUCGAGCGUCAUUACAACCCUCAGGCCCCCGGGCCUGGCGUUGGGGAUCGGCGGACGCCCCCUGCGGGCACAACGCCGUCCCCCAAAUACAGUGGCGGUCCCGCCGCAGCUUCCAUUGCGUAGUAGCUAACACCUCGCAACUGGAGAGCGGCGCGGCCACGCCGUAAAACACCCAACUUCUGAAUGUUGACCUCGAAUCAGGUAGGAAUACCCGCUGAACUUAAGCAUAUCAAUAAGCGGAGGA
rnacentral:misc_RNA from 1 species